rnacentral:lncRNA from 1 species
AAUGACGUAACUACCAAGAAAUUUCUUAAAGAAAUAUUCCAAAAUGUUUCGUGAAAAAACGAUAAGGUCGAAACUAGUACGCUUCUAGUAAACUAGGUCUCACUAAAGUAUAAGGCUACAGAAAAUUUACGGGAAUACUUCAUGGAUAUGUCUCAUCUUGUUUCAAAACCAACAACAUUAGGGUAUGAGAUGUCAAAUGACUUGUUUGUGC